rnacentral:rRNA from 1 species
UACGUAGGGUGCAAGCGUUAAUCGGAAUUACUGGGCGUAAAGCGUGCGCAGGCGGUUUUGUAAGACUGUCGUGAAAUCCCCGGGCUUAACCUGGGAAUGGCCAUGGAAACUGGCGAACUGGAGUGUGGCAGAGGGGGGUGGAAUUCCGCGUGUAGCAGUGAAAUGCGUAGAGAUGCGGAGGAACACCGAUGGCGAAGGCAGCCCCCUGGGCUAGCACUGACGCUCAGGCACGAAAGCGUGGGGAGCAAACAGG